AUGAGUCACAAUAUCAAUCAACAACAACAAUCUCCUGUGAUUGCAUAUCCAGCAAUGGGUGAAAACAAGCACCAAGUUGCUCCACCACCACCAAUGGGUUACCCCACAAAAGAUGAUCCUGAACAAACUGCUCCAGUCAAAACAACUACCAGGGGUGAUGGUUUUUGGGAAGGAUGUUGUGCUGGAUUAUGUUGUUGUUGUGCUAUAGAUUGUUGCCUCUGA